rnacentral:rRNA from 1 species
UGGGGAAUUUUGGACAAUGGGCGCAAGCCUGAUCCAGCCAUGCCGCGUGUGGGAAGAAGGCCUUCGGGUUGUAAACCGCUUUUGUCAGGGAAGAAAUCUUCUGAGUUAAUACCUCGGGAGGAUGACGGUACCUGAAGAAUAAGCACCGGCUAACUACGUGCCAGCAGCCGCGGUAAUACGUAGGGUGCAAGCGUUAAUCGGAAUUACUGGGCGUAAAGCGUGCGCAGGCGGUUUUGUAAGACAGAGGUGAAAUCCCCGGGCUCAACCUGGGAACUGCCUUUGUGACUGCAAGGCUUGAGUGCGGCAGAGGGGGGAUGGAAUUCCGCGUGUAGCAGUGAAAUGCGUAGAUAUGCGGAGGAACACCGAUGGCGAAGGCAAUCCCCCUGGGCCUGCACUGACGCUCAUGCACGAAAGCGUGGGGAGCAAACAGGAUUAGAUACCCUGGUAGUCCACGCCCUAAGCGAUGUCAACUGGUUGUUGGGAAGGUUCCUUCUCAGUAACGU